AAUGUGCGAAAAGUAAUGCGAAUUGCAUACCUCUGCGAGUCAUCUAGUCUUUGAACGCAAAUGGCACUGUCUUGUCAAGAGACAGUAUGCCUGUUUGAGAACCGAAUACCUCUUCACAUUUGUGGAUGUGUCCAUCGACCAGUGUCUUUGGAUUAAAUGUAUUGGUACUACUCUUGAAGGUAGUGUGUCAGAGAACCGUGGUUCCACAUCACUACCUUGGGGAGAUCCAUGGUAUCACCUUAUGCUUUAGUGCAUAAACAUAUAUAAUACGGUCUCAAAUCAGGCAAGGCUACCCGCUGAACUUAA
rnacentral:misc_RNA from 1 species